rnacentral:other from 1 species
UAAAUCCUGCGAUGUACGUUUCGAUUUCUAUGUCGUUUUGAACCAAUGACUGUUUCUAGGGAGACCUACAUUCCUGCGCGGCUGACAUGCCCUCGAAAAGGGACUUCAAAAGCGCCGGUGCGGACACCCACCUGCGAGAGCGGGUUUGAAACGCAAAAUCGGACGGCAUAUGCGGGUUUUUU